rnacentral:rRNA from 1 species
GACGAACUGUCCUAACGUUGUUCGGAAUCACUGGGCUUAAAGGGCGCGUAGGCGGUCCGACAAGUCGGGGGUGAAAUCCUGCAGCUUAACUGCAGAAGUGCCUUCGAUACUGUCGGUCUGGAGGGAGAUAGGGGUGUGCGGAACUUCCAGUGGAGCGGUGAAAUGCGUUGAUAUUGGAAGGAACGCCGGAGGCGAAAGCGGCGCACUGGAUCUCUUCUGACGCUGAGGCGCGAAAGCUAGGGGAGCAAACGGG